AGGUCAGGCCUCUGCAGCUGAAACUGCCCGAGAUUUUUAAGUGCAGAGAUGAAUCAGCUGUGUCCUUUAGAAAACGCAUCCUCUCUCGGACAUGCUGCUGGGAUGUUGUGUCUCUCCACUGCCUCCCUGCGAGUGUGCUCAGAGCUGCUGGCUGAUGACAAACUGCCCCCUAAUGCAGAGGAUACAAGAGGGGAGCAUCAUUUUAUCAUAACACGGAUGCGUCCUUUGCAAC
rnacentral:lncRNA from 1 species